UGGUUUGUCGCGUUGUUCGUGAAAUCUCACGGCUUAACUGUGAGCGUGCGGGCGAUACGGGCAGACUUGAGUACUGCAGGGGAGACUGGAAUUCCUGGUGUAGCGGUGGAAUGCGCAGAUAUCAGGAGGAACACCGGUGGCGAAGGCGGGUCUCUGGGCAGUAACUGACGCUGAGGAGCGAAAGCGUGGGGAGCGAACAGGAUUAGAUACCCUGGUAAUCCACGCCGUAAACGGUGGGUACUAGGUGUGGGUUUCCUUCCUUGGGAUCCGUGCCGUAGCUAACGCAUUAAGUACCCCGCCUGGGGAGUACGGCCGCAAGGCUAAAACUCAAAGAAAUUGACGGGGGCCCGCACAAGCGGCGGAGCAUGUGGAUUAAUUCGAUGCAACGCGAAGAACCUUACCUGGGUUUGACAUGCACAGGACGCCGGCAGAGAUGUCGGUUCCCUUGUGGCCUGUGUGCAGGUGGUGCAUGGCUGUCGUCAGCUCGUGUCGUGAGAUGUUGGGUUAAGUCCCGCAACGAGCGCAACCCUUGUCUCAUGUUGCCAGCGGGUAAUGCCGGGGGACUCGUGAGAGACUGCCGGGGUCAACUCGGAGGAAGGUGGGGAUGACGUCAAGUCAUCAUGCCCCUUAUGUCCAGGGCUUCACACAUGCUACAAUGGCCGGUACAAAGGGCUGCGAUGCCGCGAGGUUAAGCGAAUCCUUUUAAAGCCGGUCUCAGUCCGGAUCGGGGUCUGCAACUCGACCCCGUGAAGUCGGAGUC
rnacentral:rRNA from 1 species